CCCGGCAGCUUCGACUUGAUGCCGGGCGGGAGCGCUCGGGGCAGUCGGUCUCAAGUGGGCUCCUGCGGGUGCCAGCUUGGCAGAUCACCUCCCGCCGCUGGAUACCGUCGUCACAGGAUGCUGAGCACUGGAGGCAGGACAGAUGCCGUGAAUAACUCUGACCCACAACUAUCUCUGUUUGUGUUUCUUGUGUGCAAGCUAGUGGGUUCUAAUAAGACUUUUCAUUCAUUUCACUUGUAUUUAUCACGUGUGACAUUUUAGCCGUCGAACCAAGAGGCAGUCUGUUUAACCAUGUGUUAUCAUGCUGUGGGGACGGUGGCGUAUCAUUUCCUCCUGGCCUCAUUCUUGCUCUGCAGCUGUUCUGCGAAGACGCACAUCCUUUCUGAUGUAUGAGGUACAGAUGUGUUCCUGUGCUUGGACGCCUCUUGGCCAGAGGGGGAAAAUUCAGAGAAAGACUACACACGCAAGAGGAUGAAAAGAUUGUUGAAGUUGAAUUAAGUCAUGUGUGGGUAUGAUGGCGAGUGUAUACAGUACAUAAUAAUCUUUCUAUUUAAACUAAACAAGAUAAAGCGUACAAAGUAGGAAGAUAAGGCUCAUGUGAGGUGAUUUGUGGAGGUGUCCGAGGCAAGAUAAAAGUGUGGACAGAAUAAUCCUGAUCAAUAUUGAGUUGUUUGAAAUAUUAUGGUAAUUGCAUGCACGCAAACAUUCAUCUACUCAUCCAUUUUCUGUAUAGGUUGUCUUCAUUAGCGUUGCAACAACCAUUCACACUCACAUUCACACCCAAAAGCUCUCAGUUUGGUACAGUGCCAUCUUACACUUAUACUACCCUGAACCACAAUUAAAAACAUCCCAUUAUGUUAACACAUUUCUAAAAAUGACAAUUGAAAACUGAGCAUUAUUAUCUUGGUAAAGUCAGACUUUUGGAUACAGCUCUUGUUUUGGAUCACAUUGCACUGAGCAAGGCAUGUCUACAUUUUAUUGCGGCAGAUACAGUAAGUGGACAUUCACAGCACUGCAUACACUGGAUGUUGACAAUAUUACCAGUAAAUAAUAGGCCACAGUCGGUGAUGCAAAUCCUUCUACAGCCCUACUGCUGUGUAACCCUGGCCUAAAUUUUUUUUUCUAUUUCCAUUACCUUCAACACCAAGACAAACAUACAGUUGGUAACAUAAUGGGCUCUGUUUUCAUGACCGGUGGCGUGUUAGACCGGGUAUUGUUAAUUUGGCAGACGGGCACAAGGCGUCGUAUUUAAAAAAGGGCGCCGGCCGGUGUGGACGUCAACACAGCAAACUUCUCUCCUGUCCAAUCUAAGCGUCUCCUCUCAUUCCCUUUAAAUGCAGCGUGUGAGAAGCGCAAUGACAGUCAUUGACAAGGCAGAAGAGGAAACUGAUUUGCUCGAGUCCGGGAGGUCGAAGCGCGCAAAGUACAUUUAUACUGAACUCCAAGCACACCUCCAUGAUGAUGUGAAGUUGGCGUGGGGGGAGAUUGCGGAUCUGCGUUGUUAAGGGGGUACUUGGAGACGGCACUCUAACCUGAUCAAUUGUGUGGCAGCCAGUGGGAUGAUUUAAAAAUAUAAUAAUAAUAAUAAUAACAAUAAUAAUAAUAAUAAUAACAUUCAAUUAUUUGAUUUCUAUAAUGAUUCCGUUUUUGUUGGCCUUUCAUCACAUAGGCCUCUUAAUGAAUGUCCGUGGAUCUCACAGAUUUGUCUGCCUGUGGCACCAAAAUCGCAUCAGACCAGCAGUCUACCUUGCGCCAAAAGCUUGACAUGGCUUGAGCAGGCGUAAGUUUAGACAGACAGUCACUAAAUUGUCACAUGCACCAGGAGGAUGUCAAAGGGCAUACCUUCAUUACGCCAGUACGCCCAGCUUGGCGCAGACCGGUCUGCCAAAUUGCCAAACGGGCAACGAGCCUUGCGCUUGCACAAAUAUUAGGUUUUUGCCAGUUUUUGUGCUUUGCUGCAGUUGAAAAGAAAAUAUAGCCCAAUAUGUUACAGCACCUUGUUUUGUGGCAAGUGCACAAAACAUUUGUUGAGGUGAUAUGCAUCAAAUUGACAAAGAGGCAAAAUUAACAAGGUCUACAUUAGGAAAAAGAAGUGUUUAAUUGGGGUGUAAAAGAAGCCUACCUCCUCCCAGCUGCCAGUCUUCCACUUGGGACAGCGGCCACCUUGGCAGCGCCUCUGCUUGUUGGGUUUGGGGGUCAAGUGCUGGCAGUUUUCGUCUUCAACAGAGCGGCCUGACCUAGUCAAACAGCGCACCUUGCGGGACUUGAAGCCUCUUCCACAAGUGGCUGAGCACUGCAAGAUAUCAAAGAAAUGGCGUUGAACAAAAAAAAUCAAAAGUUAGGUUCGGACUCCAGCAAAUACUGUCAUUGUCAACCUCGAAAGACAAUUCUUUGUUGUCCUCAUCAUUUGUUGGUGAUUUGAGAUUAUGAAAAACAAAACCACAACACACAAGCAAAUUACUACAGUAUAUUGCAUAUAAAUUUAACAUAACCAAGCAUACAGUAAAGAGACCAAUAAUCCACAACGCUCAUCUCACUGUAGCCUAACAAUAAAAUAAGAACCAUUGAAACUUGGAAUAUUGCACAUCAUUGUGUUGUACAAAUACAAACCAAAGUCAAACAGCAGGGGUUUCAAGUUAAAACUAUAGAGAUGAAAAUGUGACGCCAGUGCAGGUAUAAUUCCAAAUUUUAUGAAUUUGCAUGAUUCCUGCAUGACUGUUGCGAACCCAAUGACAGCAUGUGCCGGAUCACCCCGGCGGAACUUUCUUUCACUUCCAGGUUCACCGAGUUAGCGAAAGCCUAACUUGUUGUGACAGGCAGACACACACAGACACACAGACACACACUCACACACGCACGCACACACAGUGCAAUGUUACAGAGGGCUGGGAAGGGGGCGUGGAAAGGGCUGGACUGAGCUCAGAUAAUCACAGGGGGCGUAGUACAGUAUCUGGGGAUGGAUGGGAAGCGACAGGCUCUGAGUUGAAUGGGUACAUGGCCCAGCAUGCAGUUCUGUCCCGUGCAGCAAGAUAAUGUACUGGACAGGAACGCCAUACGAACUUUCACCUCAUUCAGACCUCAUUCAUCAAUGAAGGGGCUAAUAAAAUAUGGAGUUUUUGUUUUUUAAAUCAAGCAUUGAGAGAGUUGGGUAAUAAUUAAGGUUGGUUACCUUUGCUCAAAGGAAUGAUAGAAAUCUGCAUGUGAUGGUUUUGUGCCUUUUUUGUGACAAUAAAAAUUGAAUAAAUCGAUAAAAACUA